AUAUAAAUAAAUGCUGUAAGAAUAGAUAGAAGCAAGAAACGUUUUGCCAACUUGAAAGUCCAUUUCUAACCAAAAAAAACGUGACAUCUUUUAGUUGUUUUUACAAAUUACAAUGGAACUAUGGAUUAUAGUGACAUUAUUAAUUUGCUUUGCAGUGUUCCUCGUGGGGAUUGUGUGUUCUUUCCUUUUGUGUUGCGCCGGAGUGUUUUCCAAGGAACAAGACGGAGACUAAUGCGAGAAGGAAACAUCUAUAUGGCAGAAAAAAACUCUUUUAUG
rnacentral:sRNA from 1 species